ensembl:rRNA 5S_rRNA 5S ribosomal RNA
GCCUGCAGAUAUACUACCUUGAGUAGUUUUCUCAUCAAAUCUUACAAGCUAAGCAGGGUGGGCCUGGUAAGUACCUGAAUAUUAAAUCUCCAUGGAAAACCUAAGUGAGAAGAUCCUGAAUCUGUAAGGA